rnacentral:rRNA from 1 species
AUUGAACGCUGGCGGCAUGCCUUACACAUGCAAGUCGAACGGCAGCACGGGAGCAAUCCUGGUGGCGAGUGGCGAACGGGUGAGUAAAGUAUCGGAACGUGCCCAGUCGUGGGGGAUAACGUAGCGAAAGUUACGCUAAUACCGCAUACGAUCUGAGGAUGAAAGCGGGGGACCGUAAGGCCUCGCGCGAUCGGAGCGGCCGAUGUCAGAUUAGGUAGUUGGUGGGGUAAAGGCUCACCAAGCCGACGAUCUGUAGCUGGUCUGAGAGGACGACCAGCCACACUGGGACUGAGACACGGCCCAGACUCCUACGGGAGGCAGCAGUGGGGAAUUUUGGACAAUGGGCGCAAGCCUGAUCCAGCAAUGCCGCGUGCAGGAAGAAGGCCUUCGGGUUGUAAACUGCUUUUGUACGGAGCGAAAAGGCUCUCUCUAAUACAGGGGGCUCAUGACGGUACCGUAAGAAUAAGCACCGGCUAACUUCGUGCCAGCCGCCGCCGUAA